AUUGAACGCUGGCGGCAUGCUUUACACAUGCAAGUCGAACGGUAACAGGUUAAGCUGACGAGUGGCGAACGGGUGAGUAAUGCAUCGGAACGUGCCCGAUCGUGGGGGAUAGCGCAGCGAAAGCUGCGCUAAUACCGCAUACGAUCUGAGGAUGAAAGCGGGGGACCGUAAGGCCUCGCGCGAUCGGAGCGGCCGAUGUCAGAUUAGGUAGUUGGUGGGGUAAAGGCUCACCAAGCCAACGAUCUGUAGCUGGUCUGAGAGGACGACCAGCCACACUGGGACUGAGACACGGCCCAGACUCCUACGGGAGGCAGCAGUGGGGAAUUUUGGACAAUGGGCGAAAGCCUGAUCCAGCAAUGCCGCGUGCAGGAAGAAGGCCUUCGGGUCGUAAACUGCUUUUGUACGGAGCGAAAAGGCUCUCUCUAAUACAGGGGGCUCAUGACGGUACCGUAAGAAUAAGCACCGGCUAACUACGUGCCAGCCGCCGCAGUAA
rnacentral:rRNA from 1 species